rnacentral:lncRNA from 1 species
CGGCACUCGCAGUCCGUCUACUCACGUCCCCUAGUCAGCCUCUCACUCUCUACCCGCUGGGCGGUACCCCGCAUCUCGCUCUGGCCGCCCCAGAGGUUCGCGGCUUCUGGACCUGCUGUGCCCCUCUCCAGCCUGGAUCAGGACGGAGAACACCCCCGAAACCCACCUCACCAGCACAGCCGGCGGACCCUUCCGGAGGUGGCCGCAGAGACUAGCCAACUUGCGCGCCCGCCGACCCGGACCACAGCUCCCAGCACACCUCAAGGGCCCACGCCCGCCAGGACUACAAUUCCCGGCGUCCUCCGGAAGCUCAAGUGUACCCAGGCGCGGUGCCUGCUGGGAAUUGUAGUUGACGUUGGUCAGCACGGAGGCCACAGGAUCCCAGCCCGGCCUUUGUGGGACUGAGGUGGCGCUGAGUGGGAGAGCAGCAGGCGAUGCGCGAAAGGCGGGACUUGGAGAUAAAUACUGAGCACCCACAACAGGCAGCCAGCACCACUGCAGAUUGGAUACUGCAAUGAUGAUAAGCAUGGCCUGCCUUUAUGGAGGUUCUGGAUGUUCCUGUGGAUAACCUCAAGGAGCACGGGACCUGGGACAUGACUGCCCCCAGCAUUCCUUCUGGCGGCAGACAGAGUUUGUCAGUUCGCCAACAUCCUGCUUUCAUGAGAACAGUUUGCUGUUUGCUCACAGAGCCUCCAGUGGUAUACUGAGUUGGUCACGACCCUCAUUCCUUCGGCCUCCAACAUCUCCCCUUUUGUUUUUGCAUUAAUUGAAUAAAGGUAAUUUCAGGCUGUGCAGCUUUCAAUUGCCGGUUGGUGGUUCACCCGAUCCUAUAGACUAUGAGCAAAAAAACAGAGACAUAACAACAUUAUUCUUGUAAUUA